CCUACGGUGUGCAGCAGUGGGGAAUAUUGCACAAUGGGGGAAACCCUGAUGCAGCAACGCCGCGUGAGUGAAGAAGUAUUUCGGUAUGUAAAGCUCUAUCAGCAGGGAAGAAGAUGACGGUACCUGAAUAAGAAGCACCGGCUAAGUACGUGCCAGCAGCCGCGGUAAUACGUAGGGGGCAAGAGUUAUCCGGAUUUACUGGGUGUAAAGGGAGCGCAGACGGCAGGGCAAGUCUGGAGUGAAAGCCCGGGGCGCAACCCCGGAACUGCUGUGGAAACUGUUCGGCUAGAGUACUGGAGGGGCAGGCGGAAUUCCUGGUGUAGCGGUGAAAUGCGUAGAUAUUAGGAGGAACACCAGUGGCGAAGGCGACCUGCUGGACAGUAACUGACGUUGAGGCUCGAAAGCGUGGGGAGCAAACAGGAUUAGAUACCCUGGUAGUC
rnacentral:rRNA from 1 species